UGCAAUUGGGAGUAUGCGUUGAUGGUGUUGGUGUUCAUGGAGAAACAGUGGAGGUCUGGAAAUGCAUGUGCUAGAGGUUGUUUGAUUAUGCAACUGAGGUUGAUCUGUUUUGCAGAAGAGUUGGUAGGUACUGGAAUUGUAACUUCAUGACUAAAGUAGUUGUGGUGAUGUUCAGUAGGUUAUGGUAUAUGAGAAGCUUUAACCGUGAUUGAGUCAGUGGUCAUGAUAUUGGGAGAGACUUGGUCUAUUUUAACUGGUGGGUGAUAUGAGGUACAGUUAAAGAUAGCUGCAGUUGGGAAUGAAACUGAUGAUAAAUGAAUUGAAAUAUGUUGUGUGGUUACAGGAAAGGGUUUAUAUGGGUGGAUUGAUCUGAGAUUGAGCUUAGUUUGAUAGUGAUUAUAGAAUUUUAGAUAGUGUUCCUGUGAGAGCUUGGAACUGCAAUUGCAGUUAGUCUAUUUAACAACGAUCGAUUCAAAGGAUGAACCAGUGGAUCGUGGAUCUCGAGGUAGGCGUGGCUUGUCAUCAAAAGAGGUGGAAAUAUAUUUGACUCUCUGGUAACCAUUAUUGUUUUCCUUUACUAAAGUUUAUGUUUAACAAACUCAUGUAUUUUUGUUUGUGCGUUCUAUGCAUUGCUUAACUUGGUUUACGAUAAUUCUGUUGAUUCUGUUAAUAUUUCCAUGGUUUGGAAAGGACCUGUAAUGUGUUGUGGUCAAUAUGAAUUGUUAUGGGAAAUAAGAAUUUCCACGUGUGGUAUAUAGGA